rnacentral:rRNA from 1 species
GACGAACGCUGGCGGCGUGGAUUAGGCAUGCAAGUCGAACGGUAUCAUCCUUUCGGGGGUGAGAGAGUGGCGAACUGGUGAGUAACACGUAGGUUAUCUACCCUCAAGACGGGGACAACCCAGGGAAACUUGGGCUAAUACCGGAUGUGAGCAACUUUUAGUUGUUUGAAAGGUGGCGUAAGCUGUCGCUUGGGGAUGAGCCUGCGUCCUAUUAGUUAGUUGGUGAGGUAACGGCUCACCUAGGCAAUGAUAGGUAGGCGGCCUUAACGGGUGGUCGCCCACACUGGGAUUGAGAUACGGCCCAGACUCCUACGGGAGGCAGCAGUCGAGAAUAGUCUACAAUGGUCGGAAGACUGAUAGUGCGACGCCGCGUGAACGAUGAAUCCCUUCGGGGUGUAAAGUUCUUUUAUAUGUGAGCAGUGCUUCUUAUAUUAACAGUAUGGGGAAGAGAUAUUAGCAUAUGAAUAAGCAACGGCUAACUCCGUGCCAGGCAGCCGCGGU